AUUGAACGCUGGCGGCAGGCUUAACACAUGCAAGUCGAGCGAGCGGCGGACGGGUGAGUAAUGUCUGGGAAUCUGCCUGAUGGAGGGGGAUAACUACUGGAAACGGUAGCUAAUACCGCAUACUAUCAUUUGUGCCCAGAUGGGAUUAGCUGGUAGGUGGGGUAAUGGCUCACCUAGGCGACGAUCCCUAGCUGGUCUGAGAGGAUGACCGGCCAAAUGGGAAUGGAGACACGGCCCAGACUCCUACGGGAGGCAGCAGUGGGGAAUAUUGCAAAAUGGGCGAAAGCCUGAUGCAGCAAUGCCGCGUGUGGGAAGAAGGCCUUCGGGUUGGAAAGCACGUUCAGCGAGGAGGCGUUACUCGCAGAAGAAGCACCGGCUAACUCCGUGCCAGCAGCCGCGGUAAUAC
rnacentral:rRNA from 1 species